rnacentral:rRNA from 1 species
CCUACGGGUGGCAGCAGUAGGGAAUAUUGCUCAAUGGGGGAAACCCUGAAGCAGCAACGCCGCGUGAAGGAAGAAGGAUCUCGGUUUGUAAACCUCUUUUGUUAGAGAAGAUAAUGACGGCACCUGACGAAUAAGCACCGGCUAACUUCGUGCCAGCAGCCGCGGUAAUACGGAGGGAGCAAGCGUUACCCGGAUUUACUGGGCGUAAAGGGCGCGUAGGCGGGAUAGCAAGUCAGGUGUGAAAUCCUUGGGCUUAACCAUAGAACUGCAUUUGAAACUGUUAUUCUAGAGUUUGGGAGAGGUAGGUGGAAUGCUUGGUGUAGAGGUGAAAUGCAUAGAGAUCAAGAGGAAUACAGAUUGCGAAGGCGGCCUACUAGAACAUAACUGACGCUGAUGCACGAAAGCGUGGGGAGCAAACAGGAUUAGAUACCCUAGUAGUC